UGCCAUGGGUUGCGAGGCUAAGCACUGCA
rnacentral:piRNA from 1 species